rnacentral:rRNA from 1 species
AGAACGAACGCUGGCGGCAUGCCUAACACAUGCAAGUCGAACGAGACCUUCGGGUCUAGUGGCGCACGGGUGCGUAACGCGUGGGAAUCUGCCCUUGGGUUCGGAAUAACAGCGAGAAAUUGCUGCUAAUACCGGAUGAUGACGUAAGUCCAAAGAUUUAUCGCCAAGGGAUGAGCCCGCGUAGGAUUAGCUAGUUGGUGAGGUAAAGGCUCACCAAGGCAACGAUCCUUAGCUGGUCUGAGAGGAUGAUCAGCCACACUGGGACUGAGACACGGCCCAGACUCCUACGGGAGGCAGCAGUAGGGAAUAUUGGACAAUGGGCGAAAGCCUGAUCCAGCAAUGCCGCGUGAGUGGUGAAGGCCUUAGGGUUGUAAAGCUCUUUACCCGAGAUGAUAAUGACAGUAUCGGAGAAUAAGCCCGGCUAACUCCGUGCCAGCAGCCGC